rnacentral:lncRNA from 1 species
CUCAUCCAUUUUUCCACCACACACCUUCAUUGAGUGAGUUAGAGUUAUCACUCUAUUAUAGAAUUCGGCCACACACUCAUCUUCUUCCAUCAUCAUCACACCGAAUUGCCUUUUCAUUGUCUGCAAUUUGACUCUUUUUAGUUGCUCAGCUCCAGCAUAUUGCCUCCCAAGUAUGUCCCAAGCUUCCUUGGAUGAUUCAGCCUCUGAAAUCAGCUCGAAAUGGAUGUUGUCUACAGCUUGGUGUAUUAGGCACAUAGCUUUGCAAUCUUUCCUUCUUAACACCUCCUUCUGUUCUUCAUUUGUAUUUACUUCUAAUGAAUCAAUACCUUCAUUCACAAGUUUCCAUACAUCUUGAUACCCAAAGAUGGUUUUCAUUUGAAUAUUCCAUCUUGACCAGUUCUUGCCAUCUAAGACUGGCAAAUUAGUUGAGUAACCUGGAUUUGAGUGUGCCAUGAUGAUUUGCA